CGUCCAGGAGAAGUCUGACGGAGCACGCCGCGUGAGUGAGAAGGUUUUCGGAUCGUAAACUCUGUUGUCAGAGAAGAACAAGUUGGAGAGUAACUGCUCCAGCCUUGACGGUAUCUGACCAGAAAGCCACGGCUAACUACGUGCCAGCAGCCGCGGUAAUAUGC
rnacentral:rRNA from 1 species